rnacentral:rRNA from 1 species
GACGAACGCUGGCGGCGUGCUUAACACAUGCAAGUCGAACGCUGAAGCUCAGCUUGCUGGGUGGAUGAGUGGCGAACGGGUGAGUAACACGUGAGUAACCUGCCCUCUUCUUUGGGAUAACGCCCGGAAACGGGUGCUAAUACUGGAUAUUCACUGAUUCUCGCAUGGGGGUUGGUGGAAAGGUUUUUUCUGGUGGGGGAUGGGCUCGCGGCCUAUCAGCUUGUUGGUGGGGUGAUGGCCUACCAAGGCUUUGACGGGUAGCCGGCCUGAGAGGGUGACCGGUCACCUUGGGACUGGGAUACGGCCCAGACGCCUACGGGAGGCAGCAGUGGGGAAUAUUGCACAAUGGGCGAAAGCCUGAUGCAGCGACGCCGCGUGAGGGAUGGAGGCCUUCGGGUUGUAAACCUCUUUCGCUCAUGGUCAAGCCGCAGCUUUGGGUUGUGGUGAGGGUAGUGGGUAAAGAAGCGCCGGCUAACUACGUG